rnacentral:rRNA from 1 species
UACGUAGGGGGCAAGCGUUGUCCGGAUUUAUUGGGCGUAAAGAGCGUGUAGGCGGCCAUACAGGUCAGCUGUGAAAACUCGAGGCUCAACCUCGAGACGUCGGUUGAAACCGUAUGGCUAGAGUCCGGAAGAGGAGAGUGGAAUUUCCGGUGUAGCGGUGAAAUGCGUAGAUAUCGGAAGGAACAUCAGUGGCGAAAGCGACUUCCUGGACCAAUACUGACGCUCAUGUGCGAAAGCGUGGGGAGCAAACAGG